rnacentral:pre_miRNA from 1 species
GUGUUUGGUAAAUUAGCUGUUUGGUAUAAUUUCUUUUUUUCAAAAAGCUAAUUAACCAAACAU